rnacentral:lncRNA from 1 species
CUCAAGGUGAAGGAGAUCAAGAACGGUCGCCUCGCCAUGUUCUCAAUGUUCGGCUUCUUUGUCCAAGCUAUCGUCACGGGCAAGGGACCACUUGAGAACCUCGCUGACCACAUCGCUGACCCCGUCAACAACAACGCCUGGGCAUUCGCCACCAACUUUGUCCCCGGCAAGUAAGAUGUCUUGGAGAUUGUUCACGCCACAAAGCGUGUUUGUUGUGCAGUCUGAGUUGUACUACCAUGAUGUAAAUUAUGAGAAUUUGUGCAAAAGCAAUGCAAGAUUUUUCUUGCUUGAAUGUCAUGACUUGCAUCGAUCUGAUCGUUGUGAUCACAAUCCACGAGAACAGAUAAAUAUUCCUGCUCGCGCUUAGUUAUCCAUUAUCAUUAUGUGCUCAGAUCAGCGACGCCUCAUAUGAUUGUGUAGGCUUGUCCGCUGGUGAAUUUGCGGGGUCAAUUCAGAGCAAAGGAAACGCUAAUAUAAAUUUUCAUAGAAGCUUCCGUCAAUACAACAAUCAGGACUAAUCUCAAUUCAAUUGCAAGGGGCAUGGUUUUCUUUCAUUUCUUAAUUUUCAACAAAAGUAGUGUGGCCAAUUAUACUGCAUUAGUGAUUUUUCAUAUCUCCCUCCCAGCCCAACCAAGUGGUAUGGCUUACUAGUGUGGUCUAAAGUGAGAAGGCAAUGUAAGGGUCGGGAAAUAGUCAAUUAUUCAAGGAUUGGGGUGCGAGAGGCGGUCGCCGCCGCUGAUAUUGUGGUGGAUGGCAAAGACUUGGAGGCGGAGAUGGGUGGGCGUCCACCUAUAGAUCAACACAUUUCUCUAUUGUGUCAUUUUUAUUAUAAAUCAAUUGAAAAAUUAUUGAUAUUCUUGUUAAAGCAGAGUAGAUAGAAUUAAAACAUACUUUUAUGCAAGAUAGCUAUUAAAAUAUUUUCAACAAAUAAACAAUUCACAAUAUAAUUGUUGUGCAUGAUCAUCACCCAAAGAACAUAGGGUGACCUGUGAAUCAACGACGUUAGAGAGCUGGGGAGCACGUGCUAAGAUUUUCUUUCUCGAGAGCUUCGACAUAUAUUUGUUCGUCAGGUUCCUGUCUAAUUUAAGAGCUAAAGAUAUAAAAAUCAAGCAUACAUAAUUAUAAGUGAAAAUUAUAAGCACGUAAAUGAAUUUGACUCAACAUUGAUGUUUUGAUGUACGUGAAUAUAUAUUGCAAUAUAGUGAAAUAAUUAUAUUAUGUGCGAUCAUACAUGCAAUUUAUAUAGUCAUCCAGGCUUGAAUAAAAACAAAGCUAUAAAAGUGUACAUUAUCCAUAAAUUUAAGGAAAUAACAACUUAAACUGCACUUGGGGGCUUAUGCACCCGACUGAGAAGUAAAUUUGAAAAACAUGAAAAUUAUCAUGCUGAAAAACAUUUGUGGAAGUCUGAAAAACCAUUACAAAAACGAUGUUCCAAAAAGGGCACUUUUUAAAGCACUUUGGAACACUGAUUUUUUUUCAGACCUCCACAGAUGUUUUUCCAUCACGAAACUUAUUUGCAUGUUAGUAAAACAUUCAAGAAUGCUCAUCACAAAAAAAUAAGUUUUAAAUUUGUUUACUAUUCUUUUCAAAAUUCAAUUUUCGCCUGGUGCAUAUGCACCCAGGAGCAGAGCGAACACCUCCGCUUAUUCUAACAUUUCUUUCAUGUAGAAGUAAUCGUAUCCAUCACUUUUUCCCCAAUUGAUUUACUACAAAUGGUGGAACAUUUUUUAAGGUUAAAUAAAUAGUCUUGUUUUUUUGUUACCAAACAGAACUUGUUUUAUUUCAGUAGCAUAAUGAGUCUCUACUUUAUUUACACUGAAAUAUAGAAUAUUCAAAUGUAAAUUGGAAUAAAUUUAUUUAUUUUUCAGAUGAAUGGUAAAUUAAGUUGGACCUACAUUUUUCAUUAUGUUAAAAAUGGAUAUAUCUAGCUUUAUAUGUGGAAUUUGGCGCAAUAAUGUGAUUUUCUAGAUGCAAUAAUGUGAUCUUUUACCACGAGCAGAUGUUACAUCCUAUUUUGAUUUUCUGAAAUCUAAAAGAUACGUGAGCGCAACAGCUCGCCGGAGUACGCGUGGUGCGACGCCUCGCGAUGCUUUAUGGUGCAUGCGAACGUCUCACUCACACACUUGACCGAAUCAGCUGUCUCCAACGAAAUCCAGUCACAGCCACUCCUGGCCACAAGUUCACAGCAAUACUCAUUUCUCCUGGCUCUCGCUGCGCCAAGUUUUGUGACAGCAAGAGAUCUAUGCGGCACCAAUGGCAGCAAAGCUCAAGAUUUUUCUCUCUAUCCUUGUUUAUCUGGUCAGAUUGCACACCAAAUGGAUUCCCUAUGACACCUCCUGCUGCCUUAAGUAGCCACCUCCCCCUCUUCUAUCAAAUCAUCUCCAUACUCACUCAUCUCUUUGAGAACCCAUACAGUUGACACUCAUCUUAGCUUUCCAAUGGCGGCAGCCACCAUGUCCCUCUCCUCCUCGACCUUUGCCGGCAAGGUGGUGACGAACGUUCCAUCUUUGGCUCUCUUUGGCGAGGCCCGAGUCACCAUGCGCAAGACCGCAACGAAGGUGAAGCAGGUUUCUUCUGGCAGCCCAUGGUACGGUGCUGACCGUGUGCUCUACCUCGGCCCACUCUCCGGUGAGCCCCCGAGCUACCUGACAGGUGAGUUCCCAGGUGACUAUGGGUGGGACACAGCCGGACUUUCGGCUGACCCCGAGACCUUCUCCAAGAACCGGGAGUUGGAGGUGAUCCACUGUCGUUGGGCCAUGCUUGGGGCACUUGGUUGCGUCUUCCCUGAGUUGCUCGCCCGCAACGGCGUCAAGUUCGGCGAGGCUGUUUGGUUCAAGGCCGGCUCCCAGAUCUUUAGUGAGGGUGGUCUCGACUACCUCGGCAACCCUAGCCUUGUGCACGCGCAAAGCAUCCUAGCUAUUUGGGCAUGCCAGGUCGUGCUCAUGGGUGCCGUUGAAGGGUACCGCGUCGCCGGUGGCCCACUCGGCGAGAUCGUCGACCCACUAUACCCAGGAGGCAGCUUCGACCCUCUCGGCCUAGCCGACGACCCCGAGGCAUUUGCUGAGCUCAAGGUGAAGGAGAUCAAGAACGGCCGCCUCGCCAUGUUCUCAAUGUUCGGCUUCUUUGUCCAAGCUAUCGUCACGGGCAAGGGCCCACUUGAGAACCUCGCUGACCACAUUGCUGACCCCGUCAACAAUAACGCAUGGGCAUUCGCCACCAACUUUGUCCCCGGCAAGUAAGAUGUCUUGAAGAUUGUGCACGCCCCAAAGCGUAUUGGUGUGCAAUCUGAGUUGUACUACCAUGAUGUAAAUUACGAGAAUUUUGUGCAAAAGCAAUGCAAGAUUUUUCCGUCUUGAAUGUUGUGAUUUGCAUCGAAAUGAUCAUCGUGCUUGCAAUCCACGAGAACAGGUAAAUAUUUC